GAGACAGCAGCCGCCGCGGUAACACGUAGGGUGCAAGCGUUAAUCGGAAUUACUGGGCGUAAAGCGUGCGCAGGCGGUUAUAUAAGACAGAUGUGAAAUCCCCGGGCUCAACCUGGGAACUGCAUUUGUGACUGUAUAGCUAGAGUACGGCAGAGGGGGAUGGAAUUCCGCGUGUAGCAGUGAAAUGCGUAGAUAUGCGGAGGAACACCGAUGGCGAAGGCAAUCCCCUGGGCCUGUACUGACGCUCAUGCACGAAAGCGUGGGGAGCAAACAGGAUUAGAUACCCCUGUAGUCCCUGUCUCUUAUAC
rnacentral:rRNA from 1 species